rnacentral:rRNA from 1 species
CUCAGGAUGAACGCUAGCUACAGGCUUAACACAUGCAAGUCGAGGGGAAACGACAUCGAAAGCUUGCUUUUGAUGGGCGUCGACCGGCGCACGGGUGAGUAACGCGUAUCCAACCUGCCCACCACUUGGGGAUAACCUUGCGAAAGUAAGACUAAUACCCAAUGAUAUCCCACGAAGGCAUCGGAAUGGGAUUAAAGAUUUAUCGGCAACGGAUGGGGAUGCGUCUGAUUAGGUUGUUGGCGGGGUAACGGCCCACCAAGCCCACGAUCAGUAGGGGUUCUGAGAGGAAGGUCCCCCACAUUGGAACUGAGACACGGUCCAAACUCCUACGGGAGGCAGCAGUGAGGAAUAUUGGUCAAUGGGCGAGAGCCUGAACCAGCCAAGUAGCGUGCAGGAUGACGGCCCUAUGGGUUGUAAACUGCUUUUAUAAGGGAAUAAAGUGAGUCUCGUGAGACUUUUUGCAUGUACCUUAUGAAUAAGGACCGGCUAAUUCCGUG